GGGCAUGGUGGCACAUGCCUGUAAUCCUAGCAACUUGGGAGGCUGAGACAGGAGGAUGGCAAGUUCAAGGCCAGCCUGGACAACUUAGUGAAACCCUGUCUCAA
rnacentral:sRNA from 1 species